rnacentral:rRNA from 1 species
AGAGUUUGAUCCUGGCUCAGGACGAACGCUGGCGGCGUGCCUAAUACAUGCAAGUCGAGCGAACAGAAGGGAGCUUGCUCCCGGAUGUUAGCGGCGGACGGGUGAGUAACACGUGGGUAACCUGCCUGUAAGACUGGGAUAACUCCGGGAAACCGGAGCUAAUACCGGAUAGUUCCUUGAACCGCAUGGUUCAAGGGUGAAAGACGGUUUCGGCUGUCACUUACAGAUGGACCCGCGGCGCAUUAGCUAGUUGGUGGGGUAAUGGCUCACCAAGGCGACGAUGCGUAGCCGACCUGAGAGGGUGAUCGGCCACACUGGGACUGAGACACGGCCCAGACUCCUACGGGAGGCAGCAGUAGGGAAUCUUCCGCAAUGGACGAAAGUCUGACGGAGCAACGCCGCGUGAGUGAUGAAGGUUUUCGGAUCGUAAAGCUCUGUUGUUAGGGAAGAACAAGUGCGAGAGUAACUGCUCGCACCUUGACGUGGCCUAACCAGAAAGCCACGGCUAGCUACGUGCCAGCAGCCGCGGUAAUACGUAGGUGGCAAGCGUUGUCCGGAAUUAUUGGGCGUAAAGGGCUCGCAGGCGGUUUCUUAAGGUCUGAUGUGAAAGCCCCCGGCUCAACCGGGGAGGGUCAUUGGAAACUGGGAAACUUGAGUGCAGAAGAGGAGAGUGGAAUUCCACGUGUAGCGGUGAAAUGCGUAGAGAUGUGGAGGAACACCAGUGGCGAAGGCGACUCUCUGGUCUGUAACUGACGCUGAGGAGCGAAAGCGUGGGGAGCGAACAGGAUUAGAUACCCUGGUAGUCACGCCGUAAACGAUGAGUGCUAAGUGUUUGGGGGUUUCCGCCCCCUUAGUGCUGCAGCUAACGCAUUAAGCACUCCGCCUGGGGAGUACGGUCGCAAGACUGAAACUCAAAGGAAUUGACGGGGGCCCGCACAAGCGGUGGAGCAUGUGGUUUAAUUCGAAGCAACGCGAAGAUCCUUGUCAGGUCUUGACAUCCUCUGACAACCCUAGAGACAGGGCUUUCCCUUCGGGGACAGAGUGACAGGUGGUGCCAUGGUUGUCGUCAGCUCGUGUCGUGAGAUGUUGGGUUAAGUCCCGCAACGAGCGCAACCCUUGAUGUUAGUUGCCAGCAUUUAGUUGGGCACUCUAAGGUGACUGCCGGUGACAAACCGGAGGAAGGUGGGGAUGACGUCAAAUCAUCAUGCCCCUUAUGACCUGGGCUACACACGUGCUACAAUGGACAGAACAAAGGGCUGCGAGACCGCAAGGUUUAGCCAAUCCCAUAAAUCUGUUCUCAGUUCGGAUCGCAGUCUGCAACUCGACUGCGUGAAGCUGGAAUCGCUAGUAAUCGCGGAUCAGUAUGCCGCGGUGAAUACGUUCCCGGGCCUUGUACACACCGCCCGUCACACCACGAGAGUUUGUAACACCCGAAGUCGGUGAGGUAACCUUUAUGGAGCCAGCCGCCGAAGGUGGGACAGAUGAUUGGGGUGAAGUCGUAACAAGGUAACCAAUCACUAGUAACGCGUU